rnacentral:rRNA from 1 species
UACGUAGGGGGCAAGCGUUGUCCGGAUUUAUUGGGCGUAAAGAGCGUGUAGGCGGUUUGGUAGGUCCGCUGUGAAAACUCGAGGCUCAACCUCGAGACGCCGGUGGAAACCAUCAGGCUAGAGUCCGGAAGAGGAGAGUGGAAUUCCUGGUGUAGCGGUGAAAUGCGCAGAUAUCAGGAAGAACACCCGUGGCGAAGGCGGCUCACUGGCCCGGUACUGACGCUGAGGUGCGAAAGCGUGGGGAGCAAACAGG